rnacentral:rRNA from 1 species
UACGAAGGGGGCUAGCGUUGUUCGGAAUUACUGGGCGUAAAGCGCGCGCAGGCGGUUCUUCAAGUCAGUGGUGAAAGCCCGGAGCUCAACUCCGGAACUGCCAUUGAAACUGUAGAACUUGAGGAUGAGAGAGGUGAGUGGAAUUCCCAGUGUAGAGGUGAAAUUCGUAGAUAUUGGGAAGAACACCAGUGGCGAAGGCGGCUCACUGGACCACAACUGACGCUGAUGCACGAAAGCUAGGGGAGCAAACAGG